rnacentral:rRNA from 1 species
CCCAGACUCCUACGGGAGGCAGCAGUGGGGAAUAUUGGACAAUGGGCGGAAGCCUGAUCCAGCAACGCCGCGUGAGGGAUGACGGCCUUCGGGUUGUAAACCUCUUUCAGCACAGACGAAGCGCAAGUGACGGUAUGUGCAGAAGAAGGACCGGCCAACUACGUGCCAGCAGCCGCGGUAAUACGUAGGGUCCGAGCGUUGUCCGGAAUUAUUGGGCGUAAAGGGCUCGUAGGCGGUCUGUCGCGUCGGGAGUGAAAACCAGGUGCUUAACACCUGGCCUGCUUUCGAUACGGGCAGACUAGAGGUACUCAGGGGAGAAUGGAAUUCCUGGUGUAGCGGUGAAAUGCGCAGAUAUCAGGAGGAACACCGGUGGCGAAGGCGGUUCUCUGGGAGUAUCCUGACGCUGAGGAGCGAAAGUGUGGGGAGCGAACAGGAUUAGAUACCCUGGUAGUCCACACCGUAAACGUUGGGCGCUAGGUGUGGGACACAUUCCACGUGUUCCGUGCCGCAGCUAACGCAUUAAGCGCCCCGCCUGGGGAGUACGGCCGCAAGGCUAAAACUCAAAGGAAUUGACGGGGGGCCCGCACAAGCGG